UGAUUCUUUAUGUUAUCUGGGGAGGUAACAUCCUUUUCCAAAAUAUGUCUCAUGUGUUUUAGCUUUAAUUAUGAAGUAAGUUUAUGUUCUGAUUGAUUGAUAUUAGAGAACAAAUCAGUUUAUAUUGCUAUGUUUUCUCAUGUGAUCUGCAGGCCCCUCCUCAACCAAUAGGACAGUCCCAGUAAAUAAUGAAGAGGUAAGUAUUAAUUCUACUAAAUAGAUUUGUCUUAAUUCUGGAAAUGAUGAUCUUCAGUCUUUUUGAUUCUUAGGUUCUCUCUGCUAAUCAUGACUAUGAGGAGAUUAAUCCCACCACACAUCGUUCUCGGAGGAAUGCCUCAUCACCCAAUAACAGAUCUGAUACGGAAAAUACAGAAGCAUGUAUCUACUCUACUGUGCAACUGCCCAAAGAAGAAGGUCUAACUUACGCUACUGUGAGCUUCCAGAAGAACCCGGAUUCUCCCAGUGAUGGAUCAGUCACUGUCAUAAAGAAUGACUCUUCUACUGAGUACGCCACGAUCAAACACCACUCGAGACGGAAGUGAUCUGCUGACUGAUUACAGAAUUUAUAUUGUGUUUGGUAGUUUUGGGUUAUGAAUUGUUAACUUUUUGGGUUUUUGAGGAGAUUAGGAAUAUCUGGAAAUCGAAUAAGUUGAUGCAGUAGAUAAAACUCAUCUCUCAGAAGCUGCAGAAGGUUUGAAGAACCUUUACUUGAUGUAUCUGUUUUAUUUAUAGUUCAAACAAUUAAUUCAGGCAAUCAAAGAACCUCAAAGAACCAUUAAUGUUAUUUUAUAUUGAAGAGUUUUGGUAGCCUAGCUUCAUGCUACAUUAUAAAUGAUCAGCUUAAGUAUCUAGUAAGAAAAGUUAGUUAGUGCAAAUACAAUACACUCACACACUAUAUGGGCAACUGUAUUAUGCUUAUGUAGGGCAUUGAAUUUACACUGUAGUUUUCAUGCUGCAGCAUGGAUGUUUAGGCAUAUAUACCCAAAAAUGUAUGUAAAUUUAUUUAAAAUGUUUAUGAAAACAAAUUAGUGUAAUUGAAAAGUUUGAGUAUGACCUGUUUUGUUGGAGUAACUGUCUCUGAAAGUAUUGUAAUUCACAGAAAUUAAAUAUUAUAAAAAUGUUAUAUAUUUACCAUUU
rnacentral:lncRNA from 1 species